rnacentral:rRNA from 1 species
AAGCAUAUCAAUAAGCGGAGGAAAAGAAACCAACCGGGAUUGCCUCAGUAACGGCGAGUGAAGCGGCAAGAGCUCAAAUUUGAAAUCUGGCCCCUUUGGGGUCCGAGUUGUAAUUUGCAGAGGAUGCUUCGGGUGCGGUCCCCAUCUAAGUGCCCUGGAACGGGCCGUCAUAGAGGGUGAGAAUCCCGUCUGGGAUGGGCGGCCGCGCCCGUGUGAAGCUCCUUCGACGAGUCGAGUUGUUUGGGAAUGCAGCUCUAAGCGGGUGGUAAAUUUCAUCUAAAGCUAAAUACUGGCCGGAGACCGAUAGCGCACAAGUAGAGUGAUCGAAAGAUGAAAAGCACUUUGAAAAGAGAGUUAAACAGCACGUGAAAUUGUUGAAAGGGAAGCGUUGUCCACCAGACUCGCCCGGGGGGGCUCAGCCGGCACGUGUGCCGGUGUACUCCUCUCCGGGCGGGCCAGCAUCGGUUUGGGCGGCUGGUGAAAGGCCCCGGGAAUGUAACACCCUCCGGGGUGCCUUAUAGCCCGGGGUGCCAUGCAGCCAGCCUGGACCGAGGCCCGCGCUUCGGCGAGGAUGCUGGCGUAAUGGUGGUCAACGGCCCGUCUUGAAACACGGA